GACGAACGCUGGCGGCGUGCUUAACACAUGCAAGUCGAACGGAAAGGCCCUGCUUUUGUGGGGUGCUCGAGUGGCGAACGGGUGAGUAACACGUGAGUAACCUGCCCUUGACUUUGGGAUAACUUCAGGAAACUGGGGCUAAUACCGGAUAGGAGCUCCUGCUGCAUGGUGGGGGUUGGAAAGUUUCGGCGGUUGGGGUUGGACUCGCGGCUUAUCAGCUUGUUGGUGGGGUAGUGGCUUACCAAGGCUUUGACGGGUAGCCGGCCUGAGAGGGUGACCGGCCACAUUGGGACUGAGAUACGGCCCAGACUCCUACGGGAGGCAGCAGUGGGGAAUAUUGCACAAUGGGCGGAAGCCUGAUGCAGCAACGGCGCGUGCGGGAUGACGGCCUUCGGGUUGUAAACCGCUUUCGCCUGUGACGAAGCGUGAGUGACGGUAAUGGGUAAAGAAGCACCGGCUAACUACGUG
rnacentral:rRNA from 1 species